rnacentral:RNase_P_RNA from 1 species
UGAGCUGGCCGGGCGACCGCGUGGAGGAGACUCCUCGAGGAAGGUCCGGGCUCCACAGGGCAAGGUGGUGGGUAACACCCACCCGGGGUGACCCGCGGGAAAGUGCCACAGAGAACAGACCGCCGUGACUGCCUCGGCAGGAGCGGUAAGGGUGAAACGGUGGUGUAAGAGACCACCAGCGCACCGGGUGACCGGAGCGGCUCGGUAAACCCCACCAGGAGCAAGGUCAAGAAGGACGAGGGUCUGCGGACCGUCGUCCGCGCGGACGUUCGAGGGCGGCCCGCCCGAGUCCGCGGGUAGACCGCACGAGGCUGUCGGCAACGGCAGCCCUAGAUGGAUGGUCGCCGACCGUGGCGCCGCGAGGCGCGCGGAGACAGAACCCGGCCUACAGGCCAGCUCAUCCC